UACAGAGGGGGCAAGCGUUGUUCGGAUUUACUGGGCGUAAAGGGCGCGUAGGCGGCCACCGCAAGUCGACUGUGAAAUCUCCGGGCUUAACCCGGAAAGGUCAGCCGAUACUGCGGGCUAGAGUGCAGAAGGGGCAACUGGAAUUCUUGGUGUAGCGGUGAAAUGCGUAGAUAUCAAGAGGAACACCUGCGGCGAAGGCGGGUUGCUGGGCUGACACUGACGCUGAAGCGCGAAAGCCAGGGAGCGAACGGG
rnacentral:rRNA from 1 species